rnacentral:rRNA from 1 species
AGCAGUAGCCGCGGUAAUACGAAGGGGGCUAGCGUUGCUCGGAAUGACUGGGCGUAAAGGGCGCGUAGGCGGUUUAUUGGGUCAGAUGUGAAAUUCCUGGGCUUAACCUGGGGGCUGCAUUUGAAACUAAUAGGCUUGAGUUCGGAAGAGGGUCGUGGAAUUCCCAGUGUAGAGGUGAAAUUCGUAGAUAUUGGGAAGAACACCGGUGGCGAAGGCGGCGACCUGGUCCGAAACUGACGCUGAGGCGCGAAAGCGUGGGGAGCAAACAGGAUUAGAUACCCCUGUAGUCCCUGUCUCUUAUAC